rnacentral:rRNA from 1 species
GACGAACGUUGGCGGCGUGCCUAAUACAUGCAAGUCAACUGAAGCAAGGUAGCAAUAUCUUGUGGAGGUGGCGCACGGGUGAGUAACACGUAGGUAACCUGCCUUCAGGUCUGACAUAACUCCGGGAAACCGGAGCUAAUAGCAGAUGAUGCAGCCGCUUGACAUCAAGACAGUUGUUAAAGCUUCGGCGCCUGAAGAUGAGCCUGCGUCUGAUUAGCUAGUUGGCGGAGUAAUAGCCCACCAAGGCUACGAUCAGUAACUGGUCUGAGAGGAUGAUCAGUCACACUGGAACUGAGACACGGUCCAGACUCCUACGGGAGGCAGCAGUAAGGAAUAUUGCUCAAUGGGGGAAACCCUGAAGCAGCAACGCCGCGUGAAGGAUGAAGGGCUUUUGCUUGUAAACUUCUGUAGUGAGGGAAAAAACUUCCACUCUGUGGAAUAUGAUGGUACCUCAAAAGUAAGCCCCGGCUAACUACGUGCCAGCAGCCGCGGUAAUACGUAGGGGGCAAACGUUGUCCGGAUUUACUGGGUGUAAAGGGUGCUCAGGCGGUUUUGUAAGUCAGAAGUGAAAUCCUAGAGCUUAACUCUGGAACUGCUUUUGAUACUGCAAGGCUUGAAUGUGGAAGAGGAGGAUGGAAUUUCUGGUGUAGCAGUGAAAUGCGUAGAUAUCAGAAAGAACACCAGUGGCGAAGGCGGUCCUCUGGUCCACUAUUGACGCUAAAGCACGAAAGCGUGGGGAGCAAACAGGAUUAGAUACCCUGGUAGUCCACGCCUUAAACGAUGAA